AUUCCACUAUGUUGACACUUUCGAACAAUCUCCUUAAACCUCUCCCAAGCUUCAAAAACAGUUACAGUCUCUUUCUGGCAGAAAUUGUGGAUUUCUCUUCUAAACUU
rfam:Nicotiana attenuata strain TT chromosome 11, whole genome shotgun sequence.